AUUGAACGCUGGCGGCAGGCCUAACACAUGCAAGUCGAGCGGAUGAAGGGAGCUUGCUCCUGGAUUCAGCGGCGGACGGGUGAGUAAUGCCUAGGAAUCUGCCUGGUAGUGGGGGAUAACGUCCGGAAACGGGCGCUAAUACCGCAUACGUCCUGAGGGAGAAAGUGGGGGAUCUUCGGACCUCACGCUAUCAGAUGAGCCUAGGUCGGAUUAGCUAGUUGUUGGGGUAAAGGCCUACCAAGGCGACGAUCCGUAACUGGUCUGAGAGGAUGAUCAGUCACACUGGAACUGAGACACGGUCCAGACACCUACGGGAGGCAGCAGUGGGGAAUAUUGGACAAUGGGCGAAAGCCUGAUCCAGCCAUGCCGCGUGUGUGAAGAAGGUCUUCGGAUUGUAAAGCACUUUAAGUUGGGAGGAAGGGCAGUAAGUUAAUACCUUGCUGUUUUGACGUUACCAACAGAAUAAGCACCGGCUAACUUCGUG
rnacentral:rRNA from 1 species